AUGGAUCAUUACCGAGAUUCCCCACUGUCCCUAGCUACUAUAUUAUAGAGAAACCACAUCCAAGGGAAUGGGCUUGGUAGAAUUAGCGGGGAAAGAAGACCCUCAUGUUGAGAUUGAAUCUAGUCCUAACCCAUUCAUAGUUUGGGAAAAUUAGGGCAUAGU
rfam:Picea glauca, whole genome shotgun sequence.